CAGAGCAUCAUGCCCUUCGGGGUAGAUCUCCCACCCUAUGUAUUACAUACCUUUUGUUGCUUUGGCAGGCCGCUUCGGCCACCGGCUUCGGCUGGUGCGUGCCUGCCAGAGGACCCCAAACUCUGAAUGUUAGUGUCGUCUGAGUACUAUAUAAUAGUUA
rnacentral:misc_RNA from 2 species